UCCCUGGAGGACUUGUGGUUGGGCUUCGGUGCUCUCACCACCGCAGCCCGGGUUCAAUUCCCGGCCAGGGAA
rnacentral:tRNA from 1 species